rnacentral:lncRNA from 1 species
GUGGGAGGGUCCGUUCCGGGCUCGGUGCGACUGCGCAGCUCCUCGGCGCUUCCUCGGUGGCUUCCCCGGGUCGAGCAAACAGGAGAUGCCGCUGACCUUCCAGGAUGUGGCCGUGUACUUCUCUCAGGCGGAGGGGCGGCAGCUGGGCCCCCAGCAGCGGGCGCUCUACCGGGAUGUGAUGCUGGAGAACUAUGGGAACGGGCCUACCAAGUAUCUCCACUUUUGAAAAUUGUAAUUACUGAUAAAAAAUUUUUUAAAGGCAGGUUUAUUGAAGCAUAAUUUAUAAACAAUAAAAUUUACUCUUUUUAG